rnacentral:rRNA from 1 species
UGAGGAAUAUUGGUCAAUGGGCGGGAGCCUGAACCAGCCAAGUCGCGUGAGGGAAGAAGGUCCUACGGAUUGUAAACCUCUUUUGCCGGGGGGCAACGUCGUCUACGCGUAGACGAGUGAGAGUACCCGGAGAAAAAGCAUCGGCUAACUCCGUGCCAGCAGCCGCGGUAAUACGGAGGAUGCGAGCGUUAUCCGGAUUUAUUGGGUUUAAAGGGUGCGCAGGCGGCGCGUCAAGUCAGCGGUAAAAAUGCGGUGCUCAACGCCGUACAGCCGUUGAAACUGGCGUGCUAGAGUUCGAGCGAGGCAUGCGGAAUGCGCGGUGUAGCGGUGAAAUGCAUAGAUAUCGCGCAGAACUCCGAUUGCGAAGGCAGCAUGCCAGCUCGCGACAGACGCUGAGGCA